ensembl:snoRNA LOC120103340 small nucleolar RNA SNORA17
GAGGCCCAGGCUUUGCAGGAGGAGCUGCUACUUCACGUGUGCGUCAGUAGGUGGCAGGGGAGGGACUAUGUCUUUGCUCAGUAUUCUGAUCCAUGAAUAUCUCUGAAUGAUUAGAGCCUAGCAUU